GGCUAGCACAGUUGGUUCGCGCAUGCGCGCACACGCGAGGUCGGGGGUUCGAUUCCCCGGAGGAGCA
rnacentral:tRNA from 1 species